GACGAACGCUGGCGGCGUGCUUAACACAUGCAAGUCGAACGGUAAGGCCCUUCGGGGUACACGAGUGGCGAACGGGUGAGUAACACGUGGGUGAUCUGCCCUGCACAUCGGGAUAAGCCUGGGAAACUGGGUCUAAUACCGGAUAGGACCACUGCCUGCAUGGGUGGUGGUGGAAAGCUUUUGCGGUGUGGGAUGGGCCCGCGGCCGAUCAGCUUGUUGGUGGGGUGAUGGCCUACCAAGGGGAGGACGGGUCGCCGGCCUGAGAGGGUGACCGGCCACACUGGGACUAAGAUACGCCCCAGACGCCUACGGGAGGCAGCAGUGGGAAAUAUUGCACAUUGGGCGCAAGCCGGAUGCAGCGACGCCGCGUGAGGGAUGACGGCCUUCGGGUUGUAAACCUCUUUCAGCACCGACGAAGCGCAAGUGACGGUAGGUGCAGAAGAAGGACCGGCCAACUACGUGCAAGCAGCCGCCGUAA
rnacentral:rRNA from 1 species